GGUCUUUUUCAAAGUCAUUGGAAUGAAGGAUAUGGGAAAACUUUGCAGCUUUAAAAGUUGUCAAUGUUCAUGUUCAUGGAAAGUAGAAUAGGGAGGAGAGAUCUGUAUCAUACUGCCUGACUGCAUGGAAUUGUGAUCAAUCCAGAAAUAGGGACACGUUACCCAUAAGGACACGUGUGUCACCUCAUGGGAAAAUUACUCGGUUUUUAGAACUGGAAUGUGCUAGAGAGAACCAGCAGACACUGGAGAUCUCAUUACCAUAUCAUAGCACAUGUCCGAUAAAAGGUUACACUACCUUAUGGAUCGCCAAAAAGAUGAAGGGACAGUCCACUCCUUUCCCUCUCCCUUCUAAAUCCACUAGCUACCUGGCUUUCUCAAAGGGAGACUUUGACUGCUUACCCUCUCCCAUGCCCCCUCAUACUCCCUGCACUGUGGCUACAGAUAUCCUAAGGCUAUCUCCCAAACUUCAGAAGUGCCAAAGUGGCACGAGACGACAUUGCUAGUUCCGGCCCUCAGCGAUUUGCUCUAUGCACACAUCAUGAUUUAGCAUAUUAUUUUUGGUGAGGAGUGGACAGAUAAAACAACCAAAGGGCUUCUGAGGUUGUUCUAAAAUGUCUCAACUGUGCAUCCUUGGCUUCCCCUUUGAACCUCUCCGUCUCGGGCCUACACUGUAUGGUCAGCACCAGACCAAAUCCCAUUCGUCCUCUCCAUUAAUGCAACCGCCUUAAACCAACAUAUCAUCACAGUUCCAGAAGCUUGCUCUAACUGUAAUUGAAAUGGCCCAAUGGGAAUUCCUUGGUUCUGGUUGCCCCUUCAUGCCCUAUCCCCCAAUUCCCCACCCUCCAUCUAUCACUGUAGCCCUGGUGCUCUUGUAACGAGGAGGGGUUAACAGCGAGGUCGCCGCGCACAUGCGUACUUACUGCCUCCUGAACAGUGGCCCCUCAGUUCCUUUGCAUGUGUACAUAUGACGCCAGCAGAAAACCGGCAUACAGCAUCAUGUCAAGUACAUAUUCAUUUAGCUGCCAGGUGCCAAGGAGUGUUAGCUCGAGAGCAUCUACAGAGAUGCGCUCAGCAAAUGGAUGUACUUCAAUGGGGAUGUGAUCAGAAACGCCAUUCUUCCUUCAGAUGUCGAGUUCACAGGCUUGAUUACACAGCCCCCUCGCGACGCAUCCUGCUACAGAUAAAAUUAAACACCCGCGAUUACAAACGGCUUUGAAAUACCCUGGACCACGAUCAGUGUCAUCCCUUAUUUAAGCUCAUCCUCAAAAGAUGGAGAUUUGAGGAUUCAUACACAAAGUAUUCAAACGCUAUAUCGCACAGCAGCCACAAAUUGUUACUAAUGAAAUGUGAUGGUGUUAAGAGACAGCAAAGACAACAGCCGCUUAAGGUCUCUUGGUGCUGUGUUUGUCAAAUCUAAGGGAUUCUUCUCUUUGGGCGUUUUGAUCAAAGCCUCUUUAACAUUCUUUCACAAGUGCUCAACAUGCAUUCAGUGUAACGUAAAUCAUUAAGCAAUGACAUUAAAAAAUAACAUCUAAUUUCUCAUAGAUAAUAACCAGCUACGAUGAAGCGCACAUACACAGAAAUAGGCAAAGAUUUCUGCUCCAAUGUGCUGUUUUAAGCAUAUUCAUCUGCCUCUUCACAUACAUGAAAGCUGCCAGUUGCCCUUGCCAAGAAGUGGAGGACAUUAAGGGAAGCGUCCUAGUUGAUCUCUGAUGACAAGGAUCUGGAUGAGAGAUCAUAGGCAAGGGGGCGAAAGCUGUGGUCAUCCCCCUGAAAGGAUGGCAUUUCUCCUCGUGGGUCUUGGGCUUGCUAGAUGUUGCCCCAUCUUCAAACAGCACUAAAGAAAACCUUAGAGAUGUGGAUUUUGAAAGAUGAACACAAAGGAUUCAGUAUGCUUCCCUUCGGAACACACAUGCAUCCUGUCAUGAGAUAACCAUUGUCAGCCAUAUGGGCAAACUCCUGAGCUGAUUGGCUCAAAAGAGACCUUUAAAGCCUUCAUUGCUGCCCAGAGACUGGCUUAUCAGAAAACUGUCCGAAAUAUCUCUUAUGUAAGGCAUGGAUAAUGAAUGAAAGAAAAUAACAGCUUUUUUUAGAACCAUCCACAGGGGUUCAUUGAAAUGCAUCAAAAGACAAAAACGCAUCAGAUACCGAGAUGGGCGUGGUCUUUAGCUCCUCCCAGAUGCAUCUCUCUCAUUUUUUUCCAACGAUAGCCUUUUUUGGGUAAAAGUCUGCUACAAAAAAGUCUGUGAGCGCUGUAUGUUAGGGGGCUUGGGCUUUAGUUGACAGUGGAGCCCCAAUUGCGAAGUGUGAAUAGAGGGCUGUUUUAAUAAGCCUGGUACCGGCUGAGCUACACAGGGGGGCUGGCACCAGAAAACUGCACUGCAGAUGAAGAUGAGAGAGAAAUCCAAGGGAUCAGUCUGGCCACAUCAGAAGAUCAGCGCUCAUGGGGAUUUCUGAUUUCUGAUUCUGCAUUUCGCUGCGAGAAAUAUUACGCUUUUACACACUCGGUUGUCAUCAUUGCAUUGUCUUACAUAAGAGUCCUGCCACUGCUGGUGUGGUUCGUUUGAACGCCUGUUAAUUGUCAAGUUGUCAACGGAACAUAGAGGACAUGAAACAGAUUACCUUGUGAAUCUUCUUUGAAAACAUGUCCCACAACUCAAUGGUACUCUACACGAGUAACAUCUUCCUCUGACACCCAUGUUUCAUCCCUCUGAUUGCCUACUGCACCACCUGACCUUUAGAAUCAAUGUUGGGUUCAUCUUCACCAUCACUCUCAUCACACACUGUCAGCAUCAGAGUUGCGUCUGUGCCAAGCUCCUCAGAGCCCCACGUGCUCCGUUUGGAGAGAGAUGAACACAACAUUGAAAUAAAGAAGACGGAGGCGCAGCUGCAUCCAGUUUGUCAUGUAAAGGGUUGCAGUUUCCCGUGGCGAGAGAACCUGAGCCCUAGGACCAUACGUCAGGACUACCGGGCAUGAUGACUCCUUGCUGUCCCCAGUCCACCUGGCCUUGCUGCUGUUCCAGUUUCCACUAUUCUGCCUGCGGUUAUGGAACCCCUACCUGUCCCAGACCUGCUGUUUUCAACUCUUAAUGAUCGGCUAUGAAAAGCCAACUGACAUUUAUUCCUGAUUAUUAUUUGACCAUGCUUGUCAUUUAUGAACAUUUUGAAAUUCUUUCCUCUCUCUACUUCUCUCCUUCUCUCUUUCUUUCUCUCUCUCGGAGGACCUGAGCCCUAGGACCAUACGUCAGGACUACCGUGCAUGAUGACUCCUUGCUGUCCCCAGUCCACCUGGCCUUGCUGCUAUUCCAGUUUCAACUGUUCUGCCUGCGGUUAUGGAACCCCUACCUGUCCCAGACCUGCUGUUUUCAACUCUUAAUGAUCGGCUAUGAAAAGCCAACUGACAUUUAUUCCUGAUUAUUAUUUGACCAUGCUUGUCACUUAUGAACAUUUUGAACAUUUGGCCAUGUUCUGUUAUAAUCUCCACCCGGCACAGCCAGAAGAGGACUGGCCACCCCUCAUAGCCUGGUUCCUCUCUAGGUUUCUUCCUAGGUUUUGGCCUUUCUAGGGAGUUUUUCCUAGCCAACGCGCUUCUACACCUGCAUUGCUUGCUGUUUGGGGUUUUAGGCUGGGUUUCUGUACAGCACUUCGAGAUAUUAGCUGAUGUACUAAGGGCUAUAUAAAAUAAACUUGAUUUGAUUUUGCUA